GUACCCACUUUGGCAGCACAUAUACUAAAAUUGGAACCAUAUAGAGGUUGGCAUGGCCCUUGCACAGGAUGACAUAAAAAUUCUUGAAGUAUCCUAUAUUUUG